UCUUAAGGAGGAGCAAAGAAAGUGGCUUCUUGAGAUGGAAUCUAUGCCUGGUGAAGAUGCUGUGAA
rnacentral:pre_miRNA from 2 species